rnacentral:lncRNA from 1 species
UAUUAUGAGGAAAUGGCUCAUGCGAUCAUGGAGGCAGAGAGGUCCCAUCUGCUCUCUCCAAGCUGGAGACUCAGGAGAGUUGCUGGCUCAUUUUUAUCAAUCUGGUAGGAGUGAAGUGAUAUCUAGUAAGCAAAUGGGGAUCUCAGGCCUGUACCCACAAGGAAACAAAUUCUGCCACAACCAUGUCAGCUUGAAAGAGGACCAUGAGCUCCAGAAUGAAACGCAGCCUGCCUAACACCAUGACUGUACCUCGUGAGACUCUGAGCAGAGGACCCAGGAAAGCCAUGCCUGCAUCCUGACCCCCCAGAAAUGGAGAUAAUAAAUGUAUAUUGUUUUAAGCCACUAAAUUUGUGUUAAUUAGUUGUGUAGCAACAGAUAACUAAUACAAUAUUGGAUCCAUG